rnacentral:tmRNA from 1 species
CACUAAAACUUAUCCGGACUAGCUGUUAACUUUCCCUGCCCGUCGGGUGGUUAGCCGCAAAAUUAAUAGACUGGGAUAAGCAUGUAGAGCCAAAGGCAGAGGAUUUGCGGACGCGGGUUCAACUCCCGCCAUCUCCACCA